CAGGAAUAGCGUGAGUCUGCGACGUCAGUGCCACAUGGCAAGACCGGCUUCUCACAAAAUUAGUGACGAUGGAGACCACCACACAGCGAUGUUGGGGGUUACAUGUAGUCCUGCAACCUGACGCGACUGAGUCCUCAAGAAAGGACAACAGCUGCUCUCUCUGCUGCAAAGAUCCACCAAGCAAUGACACAUGAUACGCACAUCAUGGUCACUGUGGACAGGUUCAGAGAGCUGCGAAACCAGAUUCUCCACUGUUGGGGCCAUUUUGCUGAGGGCUGGUGACUAUAGCCGAUUAUAGAGAAGGGGACCACGACUGUUGUCUGAGUUGGUAACCCAGGUACAAACUAAAUGUCAUCUCGAAAUUGUAUCAUUGAAGAAAUAUAGCUGCUUCGUUGACACACGCCAAUCAUGUGACAAUAACAACGAUGGCUGAAAGAAUGCAUGGAUGUCAACAUCAGCCUGAACAGGGACAGCUAGAAUACCAUCUGUGGGACCUGGUUUCGGGUGUCGAAGCUACCAAGUCACUGCUGGCUGGCAAGAUGAUACUCUUUCUGGUUCUGGCAUGGUUAUUACACCCCGUAAUGAUGGACCUGGAGCUGGAACCACUGUCCAUGUACUACACUUCAAGGAAGUUGGUGGACCAGCAGCUGCUCACUGACAGGGUUAUGCAAACCUAUCCAAAAUCCAAUGUGUUGGCUGGUUGCACACAGCUGCAACUUCAGCAAUGUUGGAACGUGUAGACACUUUUCAGUUGGGGUGAUCGACUGAUCACUAUUAACAGCUUGCUGCACAACUGUAAGUGUCUGUUGAUACUGCUGACACACUCUGUUUGAUGUCCUCCCUCAUGGUGUAACAAUCAAGUCUGAAGUGCACUGUUCUACCCUCAGGAAAGUGGAGAAACGACUGCAGCGUGUUUACCACCACAACAAUGCUAUCAAACUUAUUCUUCAUGACAAUGCAAGGCCUUACACAAGUUUGCAUAACAUAUAGGAGCUGAUAUGACUUCAUUGGACUGUUCUUCCUCAUCCACCCUGCAGCCCAGACCAAGUACCUUCUGACUUCCAACUGUUUGGCCCAAUGAAGGAUGCACUCCACAGGAAACAGUAUGUGGAUGAUGGGGACGUUACUGACGCAGUAAGAUGGCGGAUCCUACAUCGACCGGUAGUGUAGUACCAUGCAUGAUGCUGACCUUCCCAGUACGAUGGCGUAAGGCUGUCACAUUGCACAGAAAUUAUGUUUAAAAAUAAGGUUUUGUAGCCAAAGAGCAGGGAAUAAUAUGGUGUAUUGGAAUCUUGAAUAAAACCAAGCUGCUCUCAGAAAAAAGUGUUGUUUUAUGUAC